rnacentral:rRNA from 1 species
GAGCACGUAGGUGGGUUUGUAAGUCAGAUGUGAAAGCCUUCUGUUCAACGGGAGAAUUGCAUCUGAAACUGCUAAUCUUGAGUAUAGGAGGGGAGAAUGGAACUUCUGGUGGAGCGGUGAAACGCGUAGAUAUCAGAAGGAACGCCGGCGGCGAAAGCGAUUCUCUGGCCUAUUACUGACACUCAGUGUGCGAAAGCUAGGGGAGCAAACGGGAUUAGAUACCCCGGUAGUCCUAGCCGUAAACGAUGGGCACUAAGUAGAGGGGAUUACCUAUGUUCUCUCUGCCGUAGCUAACGCAUUAAGUGCCCCGCCUGGGGAGUACGGCCGCAAGGCUAAAACUCAAAAGAAUUGACGGGGGCUCGCACAAGCGGUGGAGCAUGUGGCUUAAUUCGAUGCAACGCGAAAAACCUUACCGGGGCUUGACAUGAUAGAAGUAGGAACCUGAAAGGGGGACGAACGGUAUCCAGUCCGUAGCUAUUACAGGUGUUGCAUGGCUGUCGUCAGCUCGUGUCGUGAGACGUUGGGUUAAGUCCCCUAACGAGCGAAACCCUUGUUUUUAGUUACCAGCGGGUUAUGCUGGGUACUCUAGAAAGACUGCCGUCGUCAAGACGGAGGAAGGUGGGGAUGACGUCAAGUCAUCAUGGCCCUUAUGCCCCGGGCUGCACACGUGCUACAAUGGUCGGUACAGACGGAAGCGAAGCCGAGAGGUGAAGCGAAUCC